UCUGCAGCCUGGUCCCUAAGAGGCCAUGGACUGGUACUAGUCUGCCCAGGGAUUGGGGACCGCAGUAGUAGAGGAUCUGGUACACAGCAGACACAAAAUAACUGGGUGGCCCCAUCUGCAGAGGUGAUCACUUGAAGUCAGCAAAAACGUAUUUUCUCCCAAAGUGUGGGACAGCAUAGAAACCAGAUAGGCAGGGAAGUCUUUUCCAAAGGAAUGAAGAGGACCCUUCUCAGACUUCUGUGUCAUCGAUGGUGCUCUCACAGUCCCCAUUCCUUCUCAGAUGGUCUGGGCUGUGCAAUGUGACCCGACUCCCUGGGAUGACACCAACUAUGACCUCUUUUCGAUCAAUGCAAGAAAAAUAGAAUUCCACAAGUUGUUCCUGGGAUGAAACCAUCUUUGAAGAGCUUUUCUGAAUGAGGAGGUUUUAGUCCGUUGAUUUGCAUGCUUCCCAUACUAAAUUGAGGUCCAGAGAGGUUAAGGCACAUGUCCAAUGUCACAGAACAAAAAAGUGAAGGAACCAAGAAGCAAACCCAGGUCUGUCUGACUCCAGAGCUCUUAAGUCUUUGCUGUACUGCUUUGUGUGAAAAUGGAGUCAGUGUCCGGGAAGUUGGAUUCCCACUCUCUCUUCCUGCUGCCGGGAGGAGAAUUGCAGAAUGAACCCACCCUUCUCCUGCAGUGGGAGUGGGAGUGAAUGCCAAGGCUCAGGUCCGCAUGACCCACCAGACCAGGAGGCUCCCCACGUCCUCCACAGGUGGCCCCCUCCAGGUAAGCAUUGAGCUCCCCUCCCCAGCCAGGGAGAGGCUGCGUGCCAGCACCAGGGGUGGCAAAAUGGCUGCUCAUGGAGCAGGGGUCCUCUUCCGCCAUUCCAGCAGGAGAGGAGGCAAAGCCUUAGGCAAAGGCAGCCAAGCCCCUUGUAGCUUUGAUCCUUCCUUUACCCCCUUGGGAAGUGUGGGGGACAGAGAAGACACUUCAGCCUUUUUAACCUCGGCUGCCAGGGAAUGCUUAAAAUUCUUGGAAGAGAAAUUUAAAGGAGCCAACCACCCAGAGCCUCUUUAGCUGUCUAUGUCUAGUUCUGCUUAAUAAGCCAGCGGCAGCGGGGACAAGCUGCUCAUGAAUAGUCCUGCUCCUCAAACGCAACUCAGACUGGCUGUAGCGAGUGGGUGGACUGACAGAGGGAAGCUGCCUUGUGAGCUGAGAGUAGGGCCCAGGAGCCAAGUCAGAGGAGAGCCAGCUGGGGUUAGGAGAUCCGAAGUUCUAACCUGCCACACCCAUUCUGGACACCCUCAAUCCACUGCAGCUUUCCUGGGCCCAGACUGAGGGUUUUUGAUUUCAGGCAAAAGGUGGCGUGCAAAACGAUUUGCUAAGACAGGCGAGAUGCUCAGACUCAGAAGGGCUUGGGCUGGAACCAUCCUGCUCUGUUCCCGAAUGUGCCUUGUUCAACAGAGGGAGCAGCGCACGGCCCACGGUGUGCGGAGCAGGCUACUGCAGGAGGAAGAAACCUUUCUGUGGCUUACUUAGGAAAGAACAUGAAAGGAAGACACUGAGCCCACAGAGACCACUGGAAGUCCCUUUGCAACAUGGAGCAAAUAAAAGGAGCUACAAGGAGAGAGAGUCAAAGAAUAAAAGAAUUUCUACAAGA